UUGAACGCUGGCGGAAUGCUUUACACAUGCAAGUCGAGCGGCAGCGCGGGGCAACCUGGCGGCGAGCGGCGAACGGGUGAGUAACAUAUCGGAACGUACCCUAUCGUGGGGGAUAACACAUCGAAAGAUGUGCUAAUACCGCAUACGACCUGAGGGUGAAAGCGGGGGAUCGCAAGACCUCGCGCGACAGGAGCGGCCGAUAUCGGAUUAGCUAGUUGGUGAGGUAAAGGCUCACCAAGGCGACGAUCUGUAGCUGGUCUGAGAGGACGACCAGCCACACUGGGACUGAGACACGGCCCAGACUCCUACGGGAGGCAGCAGUGGGGAAUUUUGGACAAUGGGCGAAAGCCUGAUCCAGCAAUGCCGCGUGCAGGAAGAAGGCCUUCGGGUUGUAAAGCUCUUUCGGCAGGGAAGAAACGGUUUGGGCUAAUACCCUGAGCUAAUGACGGUACCUGAAGAAGAAGCACCGGCUAACUACGU
rnacentral:rRNA from 1 species